UUUUUAAAGAAAUCCACGAGUUCACACGAAUGCUCAAAAAAUAGAAUAAAAUGGGUGUGUGUAAAGGCUAUUCGUUACUGAAGAAGGCCAACUACUAAAUGUAUGUAGAAAAACUGGGAUAGAAAAGAGCCAUUUACUCAUAUGUUAGUGAUAACGGAUUCUGGGAAGAACUACCAUAGAAUGAUAAAAACCAUUGGAUGAAAGAUUGUUGGGGAACAGGAUCCUCAUUCAACUUCAAAGCAUCACAUGAUCAGGUAUUUACAAGGCAGAAAAGGUGCCUCUACAACUGAGAAAUCUGGUGGACUUCACCUUAACCCAACUGUCAACGUUGGCCACUCAAAUAAUGGAAUCCUGAUCACAUCUGCCUGAUGUGAUGCUCUGAGAAAGACUCAAGAUACCCGUGAAAUAUUGCUGCUCAGAAGAGUUAGAAUCUAACCACGAGGAAACAGAUUUGUCAAAUCCAGACUCGUUCUGCAGAUCAGCUGGCCCAGACUCUUCAAGAACGGUGAUGUCAUAAAGUACAAAAAAAGAGAAAGAAAAAAAUUGCAGCAGUUUUAUAUUAUUAAAAAGGCUUGAUUAUCAAAUACCAGCAUUGGUUUCUGAACUCUAACAGAAUACAUUAUUGUAUCAAUGCUACAGAGUCAACCCCCUCUGCUUUUGGCUUCCAACUAUGAAUCGAAAAUAUUCAAGGACGGAAAAAAAAAAAAAAAACCAACCUUGCAUCUGUAUGAACGUGGAGACAUUUUUCUUUGUCAUGAUUACCUGAAG
rnacentral:lncRNA from 1 species